UACAGAGGGGGCAAGCGUUGUUCGGAAUUACUGGGCGUAAAGGGCGCGUAGGCGGCCUGUUAAGUCGGACGUGAAAUCCCCGGGCUCAACCCGGGAACUGCGUCCGAUACUGGCAGGCUUGAAUCCGGGAGAGGGAUGUGGAAUUCCAGGUGUAGCGGUGAAAUGCGUAGAUAUCUGGAGGAACACCGGUGGCGAAGGCGGGUCUCUGGGCCAAAACUGACGCUGAGGAGCGAAAGCGUGGGGAGCGAACAGG
rnacentral:rRNA from 1 species